UACGAAGGGGGCUAGCGUUGCUCGGAAUCACUGGGCGUAAAGCGCACGUAGGCGGCUUACUAAGUCAGGGGUGAAAGCCUGGAGCUCAACUCCAGAACUGCCUUUGAUACUGGUGAGCUUGAGUUCGGGAGAGGUGAGUGGAACUGCGAGUGUAGAGGUGAAAUUCGUAGAUAUUCGCAAGAACACCAGUGGCGAAGGCGGCUCACUGGCCCGAUACUGACGCUGAGGUGCGAAAGCGUGGGGAGCAACAGGG
rnacentral:rRNA from 1 species